CUGGUGCCCCUGCUAUGAGCAAAGGAGUCUGGGUCGUGCUGGUGAUCCUAGUGAUGGUGGUGCUGGCAGUCGUCGUAGGAGCCUAUGCCAGUGAGGCACAAGUAGGAGACAUGGAAGAAAGGCUAACCUACGUAAGCUAUAAAAUCUUCAAAAAGGCAAACGACUUUCAGUGUGAUGAGAGCAUUGCAGUCUACAGCGUGGUUAAAAACUGAGAAUGCAGAAUGCAAGGAGGAAGGGUCUUCCAGAUGAAGAGACAAACAAAAGCUGUAUGAACCUGAACGACAAAGAGAAAGUUGUGCUGCACAGUAGAUAGGCAUCUUAAAUGCAUUUGCUUUGAAGACCUGUGUACAGAAAUGUCUGGGUAACCAUAGUGUUGGUGUUGAUGUUUGAUGCUUAAUGCUUUGAUACUUAAUCCAUUUUUAUGUUUAUGCUUGUGCUCAAGGUAAUGAGCUUCCCUGUACUGAUGUACUGUAUGUUCAUGUAAC